rnacentral:tmRNA from 1 species
GGGGGUAACCGGUAUCGAUUGAUGGGAAAGUAAAAGAGGUGCAAAGGUGAGGGAAGCGCGGCUCACUAAAAACGCUUAUCUAAUAAUCGCAAAUGACGAUUUUAACCAAGAACUAGCAGCUUAAUAACCUGGCUACUCUUGAGGCGACGGCAGCCAAUAAACAGAAAGCCGUACUUGAGAUACCUUAGUGCUUUUGAUUGUUUUGGCCAUAAUAAAACGAUCUAGUCAAGUGGGAUGUCUGACGAAAAAAACAGCCCUAACUUUGUGAAUGACCCUUUUACGGAACUAGACAAGACGGGAGUUCGAUUCUCCCUACCUCCACCA